AUACGUAGGGGGCAAGCGUUAUCCGGAUUUACUGGGUGUAAAGGGAGCGUAGACGGAAGGCCAAGUCUGAUGUGAAAGCCCGCGGCUCAACCGCGGAACUGCUUUGGAAACUGUGUAGCUGGAGUAUCGGAGGGGUAAGCGGAAUUCCUGGUGUAGCGGUGGAAUGCGUAGAUAUCAGGAGGAACACCGGUGGCGAAGGCGGCUUACUGGACGAUAACUGACGUUGAGGCUCGAAAGCGUGGGGAGCAAACAGGAUUAGAUACCCUGGUAGUCCACGCUGUAAACGAUGAAUACUAGGUGUCGGGUUCCAAAGGGAUUCGGUGCCGUCGCAAACGCAAUAAGUAUUCCACCUGGGGAGUACGUUCGCAAGAAUGAAACUCAAAUGAAUUGGCGGGG
rnacentral:rRNA from 1 species